CAGUCGCCACGGUAAUACGUAGGGCGCAAGCGUUGACCGGAAUUAUUGGGCGUAAAGAGCUCGUAGGCGGUCUGUCGCGUCUGGUGUGAAAUCCCGAGGCUCAACCUCGGGCUUGCAUCGGGUACGGGCAGACUAGAGUGCGGUAGGGGAGACUGGAAUUCCUGGUGUAGCGGUGGAAUGCGCAGAUAUCAGGAGGAACACCGAUGGCGAAGGCAGGUCUCUGGGCCGCAACUGACGCUGAGGAGCGAAAGCAUGGGGAGCGAACAGGAUUAGAUACCCGCGUAGUCCCUGUCUCUUAUAC
rnacentral:rRNA from 1 species